UCGGACGUGGUGUACGGGAUAUGACGAGGGGUUCAAUAACUCGCCGAACGGGGUUCGAUUCCCCGCGUCUGAA